rnacentral:lncRNA from 1 species
GAGAAAAUUGUGCUUCAUUUCUUCAUCUCCCUUUUGGUCCUUAUGAGGGUGGCUGGUGUUGAGUAAAGGAGCCUAUGGUGGAAGCUGCCUUUUUAUUGCAGUGCUGUAAACCUUGCUGCCUUGUUUUUGAAGGCCUGCUUGGAAGCUGAUGCUAGGGGGCUAUGUUUGCUUCUUGUGUCUCCUAUUGGAAAGGAAAAGAAGUCAAACAGGGAGAAGGCAGAUCAGGAGAAUGGGAAGGAAGGAAAGAAACAUUAAUGAAACAGUGUAAUAGAUCUGAGAUAAGGCAUCUUAGCAGAAAGCUUUCCCGAAGUGUCCCCAGAUCUCAGUUUCCUGUCCUUCUUUUCGUUGGGGCGCUUUUACUGAGGGCUGUAACACAGAGCUGCCUGCCCCGGGAUGGGGCACUGCGCUGACUGAGCCGCUCCGUCUGUCCCGCAGGGAUGGAGGCUGCGCUCCGAUGGCUGCUCCGUGCGAUGGGAACGGGCGUCUGGAACGGCGGCAGGAGCCGCGUGAGGACCUCCCCUGGCAGAGGCUCUCUUGCUCCCUUGGCUGGGACGAAGUGCUGUGGCCACAGGCAUAUGGGGCACACUGAGACAAACCGAGCAGCUUUUUGAGAAUGUCCUGAGACCCUUGGCAAUGGAGAGAGAUUGCAGUGCAAGCACUUUUCUGGAUUACUCUGUCACUGAUGUCAAAUCAAAGCAUCAAGGAUAUAAAUCUUCAGUAAACAUCUGGCCUCACUUCAGCCAGGUUAUGCAAUGCCUCAAGUACAUUCAGCAGCAGAUUAUGCUGCGUUCUCCUUUUGUGCAAUGCAAGCUAAUGUGAAUAUCAAGUCACAUCAGUGGUCUAGACAAGUAGUUGGGAGAUAAAGACAGCAACUCAAACCGGGAAGUUUGGCCUCUCAGGUAAGAUUACACUUUAAGUUCAAGGCUGCCAGCUGUCCUACAUUCAGAGGGUUAGGGGAACUACUCACAUUUUGGGGCUGAAAACUUCAAAUCUCCUUCUACCAGGAAAACAUUGCCCCUGUGGGUGUUUAUAUGGAACUGCAGCACAGUAACACAGCAGUGCUCUGGCUGUGCUGGGAUGCAGAAAUUUGGAUUCCUCUAUCCUUUUCUUAGAUAUUUUUCAGAUAAACAACAUCUCUUUCUCCCACUUGUAAUCACAUUGAUGAGCUUCACUUGUCAAAGCUGGAGCUCAAGGUGUGCCAUGGGGCUCAGAAGGAGGAAAAAUGGAAGAAAAACCUUCAGGGAAAAAAAAGGAAAGAGAUAAGCAAUAGGAUUUCAGUCAAGAACUGAGGCCGAUUUUGGUUUUCCUGGUAAUGGAUUUGUUUGAAGAGAAUAUAUUUAAUCUAUAGAUCCAACCUGGGAUUACAUGGAAAGGUCACUCAACUCCGCUCGUCCUCCCGGUCUCUCAUUUGUGUUUGACAUCAGCAAAGCCGGAAUUUAAAUAUUUGUUAUAUUUGGGGCAGAUGAUCCACCCAGACAGAAUCGAGGAUUAGGAAUUCAUUUUGUAAAGCAUUAUAUAAAAACACAACAAAAUUUGACCCCGGCUCCAACUCUCUCAGUCCACUUGAGUCUAAUUGUAAAAGCAGGAUCAAAAUGUAAAGAGAAGCAAAUGUGAUUGGUGCUAGUAGAUGUUUUUGCUUUUGCCUCUUCCCUUGUCCAAGAGCUUCUGUACACAGAGGUACACAGAAGCACUGAGGUAGCAGAGGGCUGCUCUCUGAUAGUUUGUACCAAACUCUCUCAUUCUGAUAGUUUGUACCAAACAAGAUUAUCAGGAGCAAUAAGAACGACCCCAGCUGUUGUCUGCUGGUAGAAACCUUUUAAACAGAACAAGGACAGAAAGUUAUUCAAUAAUUACAAGGAAGGAAGAGCACAUGGCUUGAAGUGACUGGCUGGUAAUCAAUUCCUGCUGUGAGCAGUUUUGUCCUGACCAUACGACACGUGAAGAAAAAUAAGAAGCAUGCAUAAAGAAAUCCGCGUAGUUUCAUAAAUGGAAAAGCAGAAAGUUCAUUCAAAGAUAAAUAACACAGCCAGCAUGACGUGAAAUCCCAUUGUUUUAAUACAAUAUCUACUUUAAUUGUAUCGGCUGUUUAAAACAAUGAAGAAUGUGCAAAUAAUCAUUUUUCCUAUCACUGCAGUGCUUCUCGUGUGUAUUUUGAAAACAUUUCUUAUCUGGUUUGCUUGUACAGCUCCAACUUAAAGGUCCCCAUGUUCCAUCAAGGUAUUGUCUCGUGACAGCUUUGUUGGUAUUCUCAGCACUGCUUGGGCACAGUGGCUGAUCUUUCAUCAGAAACUGUAAAGGAAGGAAGUGGGCACGUCAAGGGAAAACUGACAUGUCACUGAAGACCCAGAAAGAAAGAAUGCCGGAGAAGAGGUAAAUCAUAGAAAAGCCUAAGCAUCACCUCUGCUCAGAUGGUAAGCCUUUGGAAUAAUAGCUGUGCUAAGCUUUAUAGAAGUCAUUAAAAACCCUUUGUGAUACUUGAACUCUGCUACUGAAAAAUAGUUGUUUCCACCCAGUGUUAAUAAAUAGAUGUUUGAAGCGCAAGCUGAGCUAAUGUGAAUUCAUGCUCAACUGUGCGUGUCAUGUUUGGAUGUAAACAUCCUUUUCACAUUGUACCAUACCACCCCAGUGCUGCUGUGCUUUUCAUGCAUCUCUGUGGUAUUUACAUCUCAGCUAUCAUUUGGUAGCGUAAAACGCUUGUACUAAAAUGCACUGCCUUUCAAUUGGGCUGGGAGUGUCUAAGUACAUCUAUAUGUAGCCCAGGUAAGUUUUACAGUU